rnacentral:rRNA from 1 species
UCGACCUCAAAUCAGGUAGGACUACCCAAU